rnacentral:rRNA from 1 species
AGUGAACGCUGGCGGCAGGCUUAACACAUGCAAGUCGAGCGGAGAUGAGGUGCUUGCACCUUAUCUUAGCGGCGGACGGGUGAGUAAUGCUUAGGAAUCUGCCUAUUAGUGGGGGACAACAUUCCGAAAGGAAUGCUAAUACCGCAUACGUCCUACGGGAGAAAGCAGGGGAUCUUCGGACCUUGCGCUACUAGAUGAGCCUAAGUCGGAUUAGCUAGUUGGUGGGGUAAGGGCCUACCAAGGCGACGAUCUGUAGCGGGUCUGAGAGGAUGAUCCGCCACACUGGGACUGAGACACGGCCCAGACUCCUACGGGAGGCAGCAGUGGGGAAUAUUGGACAAUGGGGGGAACCCUGAUCCAGCCAUGCCGCGUGUGUGAAGAAGGCCUUAUGGUUGUAAAGCACUUUAAGCGAGGAGGAGGCUACUGAGACUAAUACUCUUGGAUAGUGGACGUUACUCGCAGAAUAAGCACCGGCUAACUCUGUGCCAGCCGCCGCAGUAAAAC